GGGGUUGUGGCUCAGUGGUAGGGUGCUCGCCUAGCAUGCAUGAGGUACUGGGUUCUAAUCCCAGCACCA
rnacentral:tRNA from 1 species